rnacentral:rRNA from 1 species
GACGAACGCUGGCGGCGUGCUUAACACAUGCAAGUCGAACGGAAAGGCCCUGCUUUUGUGGGGUGCUCGAGUGGCGAACGGGUGAGUAACACGUGAGUAACCUGCCCUUGACUUUGGGAUAACUUCAGGAAACUGGGGCUAAUACCGGAUAGGAGCUCCUGCUGCAUGGUGGGGGUUGGAAAGUUUCGGCGGUUGGGGAUGGACUCGCGGCUUAUCAGCUUGUUGGUGGGGUAGUGGCUUACCAAGGCUUUGACGGGUAGCCGGCCUGGGAGGGUGACCGGCCACAUUGGGACUGCGAUACGGCCCAGACUCCUACGGGAGGCAGCAGUGGGGAAUCUUGCGCAAUGGGCGGAAGCCUGAUGCAGCAACGCCGCGUGCGGGAUGCCGGCCUUUGGGUUGUAAACCGCUUUCGCCUGUGACGAAGCGUGAGUGACGGUAAUGGGUAAAGAAGCACCGGCUAACUACGUG